UUCUUCAUGCUCAUUGCAGUGUAUAAGUAGCUACAUAAUGUCUUCUUCUUCUUUUUUCUACCGAUCUUUUUAAUUGGAUUUUGGCUUGUCUUCCUGAAUUCGUACUGUAUAUACCCUGUGCUAUGGUUAAGAAUUCUGGAUUUUAUGGUAUCUCUGUUACCUCAAAUAUCAUCAUGGUAUUUCGCGGAGGAUUCUGGACUCUUCUCUUUAGUUCAUUGUGCCAAGCUUAAGAUAAUAUUGAAUAUGGACAUUCCAAUAAGGAGAAGCAAUUUUCCUUUCAUAUGAUCUAGGGGCGCUUUUGAAUAAUUUCAUCUUUUCCUUCUUCUAGGCUGAUGUUAUGCCACUACCCAAUGUUCUUCUUUAUAGGAAGAAAAGGGAGAAACAUCCUUAGCGAAGCGGAAGGGGCGGGGGGGGCGGUUGUGUUUAUUUGGAGGAAAGAAAAAAAAACGCAAAAUAUUAUCAAGAAAAGGGAAAGGAAAAAAGCAAUGAAAUAGCAGGGGAUACGGGAGAUGCAUGGCAUACUCGCUCACCCACAACAUCAAAGAACUACAUACAGUCCUGGACAACUCCAGGAAAGCCACCCAGCAGAAGGGAUUUAGGUGGUAUCUUUCGUGCAAAAGAAUGAUUCACAUUCUUUCACGUUGUUAGAUCACGCAAUAUCUGCUUCGAGAUCUAUGCAGAUGGAUGAGAGGGAGAGAUUUGAUUGCUUUGAAAUCUGUGCACCUCUCCCACCCAUUCUGAUACACCCAGCAGCUAACGUCAGUUACCCGUCCUCUACAAUGCCUCACCCCAACCCCCCUCAGUUCUGCAAUUGCUGAGACGAGAUCAACAUUGUCAUCUUUGAGGCCGUGGAGACCAUCACUUGGCUGAUGGUGGCGCUCUUGACCCUGGCUGUUCCCUCACCCACCUUGACGAGUAAUCAUUCCAACAGUUUCUUGCACAAGGAAAAUCACCUCAGGUCAAGUGAUGACGACUCUUUUACUCAAAAAAAAAAAAAGGUGAUGAUGGGUCCGAGAGAAGAUGUGAGAAAUCCUUUCCAGCCAUAUCCCCAAACAUGUAGUCAUCAUCAAAUAUCCGUCAGCUCUAGUUCUUCUUGGCACCCUCUUCUCCCUCCAAGUGGUCUACAAGGAUCGAGCCGAGCCUGGAGUGACCUGAAUUCUGAACCUUUGCUCGAAGAACUGCCAUAUGGAUGCUGCGGAACUGCCAUAAUAGAGGAACAACUGGUUUGUAAUUCAAGAUGGCUGUUGAAAAGAAUAUGGUCGCAACCACCUCCCUGUUCCCUCUUUCGAAGGUUCUCCAGUGUGAAAAGCGCUGAUCAUCAAUCAAAUAAAGGCUUUCAAAGGGCCUUUUACUUUCAAUAAACGUAUGGGGAAGUGGCCAAGUAGACUUCCAUGCUUGAGGAACCGCUAGGAGCUACUACGCAAGCACACACCCCUGGAGUCCCAUUUCCCCGGUGCCUAUCUACUCUACAGGAGGCGAAUGCAAGCAUUAAUAGGUCAUACUGAAUAAUGUGGGAAAGUGAUGAAAAAAAUACAAAAUACGAUCCAAUAGCCGAUGCCAUGAAAGAAGAUCAAACCGUAGAUAGCAUCGGCAUCAGCCCGAAGCUUCAAAAAAGCUAGGGUGGCACGAAGAAAAAAGCUUCCACAAUGCGGAAACAUAUUACUUGAUGCAGAAUCUGCAAAAAUAUAAGAUCGGAUUGAAAAUUUACGAUCAAUAAAAGAAAUAUGAACACUGGCUAGA